rnacentral:rRNA from 1 species
GACCCCAUGCCGAACUCAGAAGUGAAACGCCGUAGCGCCGAUGGUAGUGUGGGGUAUCCCCAUGCGAGAGUAGGGAACUGCCAGGC